rnacentral:rRNA from 1 species
AGAGAGAGACAUGCGCGCAUAUCAAUAAGCGGAGGAAAAGAAACUAACAAGGAUUCCCUUAGUAACGGCGAGUGAAGCGGGAAGAGCUCAAAUUUGAAAUCUUCAAGGUUCUACCUUGACGAAUUGUAGUUUAUAGAAGUGUUUUCUGUUAGUGGAGUGGCAAAAGUCCUUUGGAAUAGGACAUCAUAGAGGGUGAGAAUCCCGUAUUUGGUCAUUCCUCCUAGCGUUGUGAUACACUUUCAACGAGUCGGAUUGUUUGGGAAUGCAGUCCAAAAUGGGUGGUAAAUUUCAUCUAAAGCUAAAUAUUGGCGAGAGACCGAUAGCGAACAAGUACCAUGAGGGAAAGAUGAAAAGAACUUUGAAAAGAGAGUUAAACAGUACGUGAAAUUGUCAAAAGGGAAGCGUUUGACACCAGUGUUAUUUUUUCCGAAAAUCAAUUACGAAUGUUUUAUUUUUCGAGGAGUUAUGACUUCAUCGGCUUGCUCCUUUCUUUACUGAAACUUUCUUAAUGCACUUUUCGGUUAACAAGUCAACAUCAAUUUCUUUUGUUGUAAAAGGGUAUGAGGAAGGUGGCUUUCUUUUCGGAGAAAGUGUUUAUAGCCUUGUGCCUCUGCAAUCGGAGAGAUUGAGGUCUGCAGCGUAGAUCCUUCGGGGUUAGAUACGUUUGUGCUAAGUUAUAGCUUUUCAUAGACAACUUGUUGACUAUGUUUAGUCCUUGUAGCUUACUCGCUGACGCUAUUUUACCUACGCUUAGGAUGUUGAUAGUCACAGCGUGUAC